AGGGAAGAGGGGUUGGGGUCUAAGCAGAGUGCUUUAGCUUGGUUUUAGAAGGCGCUCCCUUUCUCCCUCCCAGAGCGGUCAGUCCCCUGUGCCGUUUCCCAGUGGCCCUGCGCUCGAGGUGGGGCAGGGAGCGGCCAGGCCCGCGACCACUCCAGCAGCCCCUCCGCGGUGGACCCUGAGGUGUUGCCCGGCUGGGUCUGCAAGGCCACAGGUCGGGGAGCCUAACUAGUCACCCACUUUGCGAAACAGGUUUAGGGGCACUGGAGGAUUUAUUUUUUGUUUUACUUAACCGAAGUGUUUAACCACUCUCUGAACUCAAAGACUACACUUUUUCAACUGGACUCGGCUAUCUCUUCAAUUUACUCUUUCUCCCCUCAGGGAUUAUAUUAUGUAUGGCUGCCACAAAAAUGUCCAACUGUGGUAAACAUUUUGGGCCUGAGCAAUUAGAAAAGUGGCCAGAACCCGAGUCAGUCACGUUGAUGGAGGUAAAAUUAUAUGGCAUUUAGGGGCCGGCUUUUGGUGACGGGACAAAAAUCCCUUGAAAUUAAGAUUUAUUGUGUCUUAAUCACAGUUGUUUUCCCCAGAACUAGAACAGCGCCUGACAUAGACUUGGUGCUUAAGAAAUGCAUCCAAUGGGAAGGGCAGGGGGUGGGGGUCACAGUUGGCCCAGGGCGGUUGCCCUGUUCCCCGUGGUCAGGCGGGGUGAGGACUGCUACGGGGCGGCAGUGGGUAAACGCAGCAGUCCCCGAGCUGCCCUUCAGGAGAGCAGGGGAGGCCCAGCCUGGGCUCGUAGUUACUUCAUGAUGCUUCAGGAUCUGGCAUUAGCCAGAGAAGACAUUGAUGAAGCUGUAUAUGCAAUAUUAUUUAGAGAAAAUUGUAUUGCAAAGAGAUUGGAUGCGUAUUUUCAGCAUCUGGAUGCUUUUAAGGAAAGAAGAAAAGAGCUGUUGCAUAAAAAAUGGACUGAAAAUGUCGCAAAGCCUCUUCAGCAGAGAAUUAUGGAAAAAGUAAUUUCAUAUAAAGCGUUGGAGAAAACAAAGCAAGAGAAUUUUGAAUAUUUUUUAAAGCACACAAAUAAAAUGGAAAUUAUAUUUGGAGACUUUUAUGAUCCUGAAGUAUACAACCCUUUUUAUAUGACAAAAAAGGACCCAAAUUAUGGAAAGGUUGCGGUCCCACCAUUCUGUGAUCCUCUGUUUAGAAGACAGCAAGAGAUAGAUGAAGAGCAGAGAGCUAUUUUUCAGUACACAACAGGAAAACGAUGUACCUUAAAAAAAUUUAAAGAGCUACAGAAGGCCAGGCAGUAUGCCAGUCUGCCCCAGUUCACGUUCAGUCUCCACAACAUGGUUUCAAAGCAGAGGCCCAAAGAGUCUGUGAAGCCUGUGGGAAGCAAAACUCAUAGCAAAUGCAGUCCUGAAAAGCUUGUCUGUGCAGAAGGGAAAUUUCCACCUUAUAAAGUGAAAAUGACUAGUGACGUAAAUCCAACUGUUUUUGAAAGGCGGUUUUAUUCCUCGAAGAUCAGCCGGGAGAGUAAAAGGCAUGAGAAGGGCCUGGCUUUAGGAACUGGACAGCGCAGACCCCGCUCCUGGGCGGCAGGAGAAGGCCAGCAGAGGUGCAGUCAGCCUGUGGACAGAAGAGUGAUGACCGCAGAGGUCCUGGGGCAGCACCUGGCUGCCCUGCAGCUGGGAGACAGGUGAGGCGGCCGGGAACCGUGCCCCACAAGAGGCCAUUUGUAAUAAAUGGUUUGCAGGAUCUGCAGUUAAAAUGCUGCCAACAUUUCUUCUCUCCAGAAGUGGAAUACUGCAAGGAAUAUCCAACUAAUAACAGUUACAGUUUAUCGAGCUCUGGUUGUAAAUCAGGAACUGUGUACUUGGUAUGCAUUUAAAAGUUUUCCCAGCAAGGUAAUACCCAUCACGUGAAGUUCAGAGGUCCAGUAACUCACUCACGGUCAGCUGCACAGUUUGAAGGUGGCAGUGUUCUCUGGCCCAGGUCUAGUCCCUCAGGUGCCAAAGCACACACUUAUUCCCCAGGGUACACGCUCUCCUCGCAGCCACUUGGACUGUGUGAUGUCAAUCAGGCUGCUCAGAACCUGGUUCCCCUUUCAGAGGGCGCAGCUAUCCCACUCGUCUGCAGGGUACCAUGAUCCCAAAGGCCACAGGAAGGGCUUGCUGGGCACUCCUCCAGUGUGUGCCCAGUCCUUCCCCGGAAGUAUAGGUAAUCUCAGGGUGCCCCUCCCUUCCUUGCCUUUCAGAAAAUCAGGCUCCUUUUUAUCAGGCGAGAACGUGAUUUCUUAAGGAGCAGAGCUGUGUUUCUUGGUCAACAGGGGCGGCUGGAGUUGCUGGAAGUACUGACAUAAACUAUUCUUCUGUGAUGUCAUAGUCGUCUGACUCACCUCCUGCAGACUUCUGUGUCCUAAAUCUGACAAGAACAUGGCACCAGCCACAGUUCAUCACAGUGAUAAAAUCCCAUAGUCCCAGCUAUAGAAUUAUCCUAUAGCUGUGGUCACAGCUUUUACACCUGCCUGACCCAUCAGUGGCAGCCUUAAGAUUUAAAGUCGGCUGGAUAUCAACCCACACUUGCCUUCUGAUCCAACAUGGCUCAACUCCCAGAACCUGUAAAGAUCAGCAGUUUGCUUUGCUCAGUGUGGCUGAGCCUGACCCGCCCAGCUUUCCCUAAAUCUCCCACAACUGAGUCCCACAGUGUAACCCAGACCAUCAAUGGAGCUGAAUUAUUCUCCUUUUCAUCUGAUGUUCCAAAGGCACCUCAAUACCUCAACACACCUCAAGGUGAAGUCCUCAUCUUCUGUCAUAAAAGCAUCACCAUCUACCUCUACUUCUAUUGGACUUGGUGGCAUCGUUCUACACCCACCCACCUCCUCCCCACACACCAAGGAGUCACCACUGACGCCAGUCUGUCUUCUAAGCAGCUCUUGAUCUCCCCCACCUCUGGCUGCUCAUCGCUGGGCUUCAUCAAUGACAAUACUAUUUACUGAGCACCUAGCUGGGUCAGGCUGACCCUGUCCUACUGCUUUUUCUUCACUUGGCUAAUUCACACUCAUCUCUGAAGGCUCAGAUUAGCCUCCUCCACUCCAGGGUCUCCUCUCCCUUCCCGUGAUCCUUUUCAAGCCCCUAUGGCUUUCUUUAUCAUCAUGCCAUAUCUGGACUGAGUAACAAAGGUAGAGGUACCAUGUUUGAGUGUCUCUAUGACCUCCCAUUCAGACUGUAAACUCUAGGAGGCCAAGGACCACAUUUAUUUGAUUCUACACCUAGGAGUAGUACAGGAUCUAACAGAGUAGCUAGUACUCUAGGAUGAUCAUUUUUAACAACUGAAAAGUAACACAUUUACUAUAAUUUACCUAAUUAUUCCCCACUUUAAAAAACCGCCCCCUCCUUCUGUUUUUGGAUAUUCUAUGUUUCUAAGAUAAACAUCUUCAUGCUCUUUAUUUUGAUAUCUUCUGAGUGUUUUUUAAAAAGCAUCAUUUUAGAACACAGCUUGUUAGAUCUACUUUUCAUGUAAUCAACACCAUCCCUUUCAUUUAGAGACUAAACACUUUUUAUUUUUGCU